UACGUAGGUGGCAAGCGUUGUCCGGAAUUAUUGGGCGUAAAGCGCGCGCAGGCGGUCCUUUAAGUCUGAUGUGAAAGCCCACGGCUCAACCGUGGAGGGUCAUUGGAAACUGGGGGACUUGAGUACAGAAGAGAAGAGUGGAAUUCCACGUGUAGCGGUGAAAUGCGUAGAGAUGUGGAGGAACACCAGUGGCGAAGGCGACUCUUUGGUCUGUAACUGACGCUGAGGCGCGAAAGCGUGGGAAGCAAACAGG
rnacentral:rRNA from 1 species